AUGGCGGCCGCCGCCAAGUGGAGCGAGACGACCAUGCUCGUCAUCGACAUGCAGAAGGAUUUCGUAGACCCGGAGAUGCGCAGCCCACUGCUGGUCACUGGCGGCGAGGCCGUAAUCCCCGCCGUCGUUGAGGCCGUCGCCGUGGCGCGGAAGGGAGGAAUCUUUCUUGUUUGGGUUGUCAGAGAGCAUGACCCUUCUGGAAGGGAUGUCGAACUUUUUUGCAGACACUUGUACUCUGGAGGAAAGGGUCCAACAGUGAAAGGCUUGAAAGGUGCAGAGCUGGCUGGCGGGCUUUUUAUCAAAGAGGGCGACUAUAAGUUGGUGAAGACGAGAUUUAGUGCUUUUUUUGCGACACACCUUGAUUCUCUUCUUAAAACACUAGGAAUGAAGAACUUGGUAAUUGUUGGUGUUCAAACACCAAAUUUCAUCUGA
rnacentral:rRNA from 1 species